UUCUGCUUGUUAAAACGACCUGCCCAUUCCAAAUUCAUUAUCAAUAACAAAAAGGAUCUCCACUAUCAAACCUUAUUCUGUCAACGUUGCAACGUGACCACCGUGAUCAAUCUCACAUUCACUGCUAGACAAAUGCAGUACUCAAUUGGGGCCAGUGAAAAGCAUGCAGAAGAUAGUUCUUUAUAAGAAAUUAAUUGUUACAGUAGCUGAAGAAGCAGCCUUAUCAUGGGUGGACUGA